rnacentral:lncRNA from 1 species
UUUUGUCUUUUUAGGACCACACCUGAGGCAUAUGGAGGGUCCCAGGCUAGGGGUCAAAACGGAGCUUAGCUACCAGCCACAGCCACAGCCAUAGCAACGUGGCUUCUGAGCCGCAUCUGUGACCUACACCACAGCUCACAGCAAUGCCAGAUCCUUAACCCACUGAGUGAGGCCGGGGAUCGAACCCACAACCUCAUGGAUACUAGUCAGGUUCAUUAACCACUGAGCCACGACGAUGGGUGGGGGCAAUGAUUGUUUUCUGUCUCACAUCUGGAUUUCAUUAGCAGCCCAGGGCAUGCUGACUCAGGAAUGGCAGCUCCCCUGGGCUCAGGCCCUCCCCGGACCCCUCACAGUGCCCGGUCCUUAGCUGGACAGGGGAGGCACACCCCUCAGACCUCCCUCGAAGGAGUAACCAGCCCCAGAAUAUCUUGGGAGUGGUGAGGCUAGGGCUUCAAGAAUUCCUGCUCUCAGCUCAGUGCCUGCCGGGUGGCUGCCAGCUGGGAUUGGCUGGGCCUGACCAUCAUGAAGAGUGACAGAGGGCUUAGGGGAAGGACCCAGGGUCUUGGAUAUACUGCCCCCAUCUACACUUCAGUCUCUAUUCCCACAGAGGUGCUGAGUGGGCCACCAAGGAAAGGGAAACUUGCACUGACCUCAAAUUGCAGAGCUAUUUUGGAGAGGAGGAAGGGCAGCCCAGAGAAGUUAAGUGACUUGUCCAAGGUUGCACAGCUGGUAAAUAGUAGAGGAGGAACUUGAACUCUGGUUUUUGAGAUAUAAAUUUGAAGCUGUUUCCUUUGACCUCAACAAGAUGUCCCUUCACUAACAUCGGGGUCCUUACUGUUGGCAUAGGGACCCUCAAUCCUUUCUGAACUUUAGAGGAAAAGUAAUAUCUGAAAGUUUCAGAGCCUAUUAUCCAUCAGAGAGGUCCGCAGUUUAUGUCCAACCUAAAGCAGCCCUAGACUCUCUUCAGGACCAUAUUAGGACUUAUGGGCCGCCUCCUCCAUAAAAAGUGAUUUAACAUUCUAUUUUAUUUUAUGACUGUAUUGAUAUAAAGAUAAAUAUUACCCAGGCUGCAUUCAUUAUUACAUGCUCAUUAUUAUUACACUCAUUUUUUCCUUCUGGUUUUAAAAUAAAUGAAAAUUACAACAUUUUUUGUGGGCCCCUAAAAGAAUUGUGGGCUCUCGGUGCUGCGCCUGCUGCUUCUCCUUGGAGAAGGUGGCCUGGCACUCGGUCAAAGCACUCGUGCUCUGCAGGGCACUUCUUGCCCUCUCAUAUCUUCUUAUUUUCUUAUUGAUUUGUGCUUAUUGUUUGACUUCACCGUAAGUAUAAGUACCAAGAGAGUGGGAACCCUUCCUGGUUUGUUGACUGUGGCAUCCUCAAGUUCUACUAUGCCAAGCACAUAGUAGGUGUUCAAUAAAUAUUUGCUGCAUGAAUAAAUGAAGAGACUAUCUUCUCAGGCAGGUGUAUUUGUACCCCAGGUAGCGGCACCCCAUUGGCCCCGGUGGCUAAUUCAGGGAUCUGUUACCCCUCUUGAUACCUUAUCCCUCUCCCCUCACCUGCCUGGUCCCCAUGUCCCAUAGAUGCUACUUUCUCAUCAUGUCUGGAAUGUGUCCCCUCACCUCCGACUUUCACUCACCCUUGCCUUAUGUCUGGUCUUAUCAUAUAUCCACGUUCCUGGACUGGUUUCGUCUGCAGUCUUGCCUCCUCCAGCUUGGCCUACAAACUGCCACCAGCGUGAUCUUUCAAAAUGCCAAUCUGAGCAUGUCACCUAAAACCCUUGGAUGGCUUCUCCUUGCCCUCCAGAUAAAGUCCAAGUUUGUGCAGGCUGGCACACAGGUCCUUCACCACCUGCUGCAGCCACACCUCCCGCUCCUCCCCUCAGGCACCCAGAGUGCCAGCCAUCGCCAAGGGCUCGUGGUUCCCGGAAACCUAACCCCCACUAUUUACACACUUGCUUGGAAGCCUUCCCUGCCCCGGGCCCAGGCUCCUCCUUUCUGCGGCCUCCCAUGAAGCCCUGGCUCCCAUGAAGCCUUAAUUGCUCACUGCCAACCUCAUCUCUAGGCCUGAACGGCCAAUAGUGCUCUUGUUGUCCACUCUGUCCCACUGAGGACAGAGGUCAGGCUUUAUCUAGCACAGGCCUGACACAUAGUAGGAGCUCAGGAAGAACUGGGUGAUUAUACUGAGUGCUGGGCCCGUCUCUGUCCUGGACCGAUUGUGUGUCCUGGGCACAGAUGUGGCACUGAAUCAAGGGGCCCACAAUCACACACCAUGUGGACAAGUGUGGCUGGCUUAGAGCAAUUUGUGCCAUAUUGGUGUGCAGAAGCCAAUGUGAGAGGCACAGGUGACCCUGCAGGCAGCCCCAACAGAGUAUCAUGACUCCCCUACAGCCACCUAGGGUUUCUCAGUCAUUGGAUCUGGCAGGCCCAGACCACCCCUAGCCUCCUUGACUACAAGAGGGCCAGCAAAUACCCUGGGGCUGGACCAGUGGUGGAAUCUACCAGACACAACAACUUGGUUAGACCAGGCCUAAUAUGACUUUUGCCAGUAUUGUCUUUAUCCUUCUUUAUUUCCAGCAGCCUAUCUUUUUAAAGAACCCUGACUUUCUGAGAAUGAUGGUAGAGAUCAAAGUCUAGAUGCUAAAGCUGAUAGUAGAAUCUAAUUCAAAAAGCAUGGGCUCUUGAAUCAGGAAGGCUUGAGUUCCAAUUCCAGCUUUGCUGUUCACUUGCUCUGUGACCUUAGGAAAGUCACCUAACUUCUCUGGGCCUCAGUUUUAUCAUCUAACAAUGGACCUGAUAGGGUUUUUGAGACAAUUAAAUGAGCUAAUGCAUAUUACAUGCUAAGCUCAGUGGUAAACUCAAUACUUAGAGACUCUCACUAUUGCUGUUAAUAUUAUCAUUAUCCUUGAAUUGACACCUGGCAGGGGUGGAUGGACUGUGUGGGGAUAGCAGCAGGAACUCUGGUUUUUCAAAAGCUAGGUGGUGGAUGUUCUUGAGGCCCAGUCUUCUUGGGCCAGUGGUGACACUGGCUGCAGAGGAACCCUGGCCCAGGCACAGCCUCACCUCACGAAGAGGGGCUGCUUUGCACUGCUAUUGGGAAUUUAUCUCUAGCACUUCCUGCCUCUGCUUGGGGGCACCCCAUCUUUCUGUAGUGCCAAAUUCUCCUGCACUGUGCCUGGUAACUAUGAGAAGUUCUGUAAGUCUGAGCUGAACUCUGGACACACUUCUCAACCCUUAAGGUUGGAAAGGAAUCAAUUAAUAGGUUACCAUCCUCUGGUUUCCGAAUCCCACUACCUGGGCCAUUGGCAGUGCAUGUUACCUUCUUUAGAGCCUGGGGCUCCUUGGGCAGCUUCAGGACCAGCAGAGUUGGCCUAGAGUUCUGCACAUUCCACUCCCCGUUAGACCAUUUAAGAUUUUAAAAGCAUUUAGACCAUUUAAAAGUCAUUCCACAAAAGAAGAGAAAGGAGUAGAAACGUUAUUCAAAGAAAUAAUGGCUGAAAACUUUCCAAAUCUGAUUAAGAACUUUAAUCAAUACAUCCAAGCAACUCAAAUAGAUCCCAAAUAGGAUAAAUACGAAGAGAUCCACGAAUAGACACACCAUAGUAAAACAGCUGAAAGCUAAAACAAGGAGAAAAUCUUGAAAGCAGCAAGAGAAAAAU